rnacentral:lncRNA from 1 species
AGUGAUGAGAAGCAUUGUGCGUGCCGCUCUGAUCAGUUCAAGUGCGCCGACAGCGGCCGCUGCAUAAACGAGACGCGGCGGUGCGAUGGAGUCAACGACUGUGGUGACGGCAGCGACGAGCGCGACUGUGCGUACGCGUGCCGCUCUGAUCAGUUUAAGUGCGCCAACACCGGCCGCUGCAUACGCGAGACGUCGCGGUGCAACGGAGACAACGACUGUGGCGACGGCAGCGACGAGCUCGACUGCUGCACUGGCUACCACUUCGAGUGCGGCGACGGCAGAUGCAUCCACAAGCGUUGGGAAUGCGAC